GGGAAUCUGAAGGUGUGAGUGUGAGCUGAGCAUUUUCUCUCUUUUUUCCUAUAAGGUUGUGGGGCAUCUCUUGGUCAAGUGCAGACUGCAGAAGAUAGACUCUAAACUGACGUAGAGGAGAGAAGAGAAAGAUUUCACUCUGACCCAUAAGUGGCUGGAGCGGAAAGAUGGCUUCGGACAUUUCCCGUGUUUCAGACGCUGCUC
rnacentral:lncRNA from 1 species